UUACGGGCGAAGAUAAGACGGAUUAGCGGCGGACGGGUGAGUAACACGUGAGUAACCUGCCUUUUACACAGGGAUAGCCUCGGGAAACCGGGAUUAAAACCUGAUGAAACUAUCAAAUCACAUGAUUAAGAAAGUUAAAACUCCGGUGGUAAAAGAUGGACUCGCGUCCCAUUAGCUAGUUGGUGAAGGUAACGGCCCACCAAGGCAACGAUGGGUAGCCGGCCUGAGAGGGUGAACGGCCACAUUGGAACUGAGAAACGGUCCAAACUCCUACGGGAGGCAGCAGAA
rnacentral:rRNA from 1 species